rnacentral:rRNA from 1 species
GAUGAACGCUGACAGAAUGCUUAACACAUGCAAGUCAACUUGAACUUCGGUUUGGGUGGCGGACGGGUGAGUAACGCGUAAAGAACUUGCCUCACAGAUAGGGACAACAUUUGGAAACGAAUGCUAAUACCUGAUAUUAUGAUUAUAUGGCAUCGUAUAAUUAUGAAAGCUAUAUGCGCUGUGAGAGAGCUUUGCGUCCCAUUAGCUAGUUGGAGAGGUAACGGCUCACCAAGGCGAUGAUGGGUAGCCGGCCUGAGAGGGUGAUCGGCCACAAGGGGACUGAGACACGGCCCUUGCUCCUACGGGAGGCAGCAGUGGGGAAUAUUGGACAAUGGACCAAGAGUCUGAUCCAGCAAUUCUGUGUGCACGAUGAAGUUUUUCGGAAUGUAAAGUGCUUUCAAUUGGGAAGAAAAAAAUGACGGUACCAACAGAAGAAGUGACGGCUAAAUACGUG